rnacentral:rRNA from 1 species
GACGAACGCUGGCGGCGUGCUUAACACAUGCAAGUCGAGCGGUAAGGCCCUUUCGGGGGUACACGAGCGGCGAACGGGUGAGUAACACGUGGGUGACCUGCCCUCAGCUCUGGGAUAAGCCUGGGAAACCGGGUCUAAUACCGGAUAUGACUCCAUGACGCAUGUUGUGGGGUGGAAAGCCUUGUGCGGCUGAGGAUGGGCCCGCGGCCUAUCAGCUUGUUGGUGGGGUGAUGGCCUACCAAGGCGACGACGGGUAGCCGGCCUGAGAGGGCCGACCGGCCACACUGGGACUGAGACACGGCCC